rnacentral:rRNA from 1 species
AGUGAACGCUGGCGGUAGGCCUAACACAUGCAAGUCGAACGGCAGCACAUUAAGAGCUUGCUCUUACGGGUGGCGAGUGGCUGACGGGUGAGCAAUACAUCGGAAUCUACUUUUUCUUGGUUGAUAACGUAGGAAAACUUACGCUACUACCGCAUAUGCCCUACGGGUGAAAGCAGGCGAACUUCGGACCUGUCGCGAUUGAAUGAGCCUAUGUCGGAUUAGCUAGUUGGCGGGGUAAAGGCCCACCAAGGCGACGAUCCGUCACUGGUCUGAAAGGAUGUUCAGACAAACUGGAACUGAGAAGCGGUCGAGACUCCUACGAGAGGCAGCAGUGGGGAAUAUUGGAGAAUGGGAGCAAGCCUGAUCCAGGCAUACCGCGUGAGUGAAGAAGGCCUUCGGGUUGUAAAGCCCUUUUGUUGGGAAAGAAAAGAAGCAGGUUAAUACCCCGCUGUUAUGACGGUACCCAAAGAAUAAGCACCGGCUAACUUCGUG